GUGAGCCCCUGGAGGGUAACCCCACUGAGGAGUUCUGGGAGACAGAGUGGAAUGCACACCUCAGCGUUGUCCCGCCUGAGGAGAGAAGGAGCUGGGUUGGACGAUAAGAGACCUCAGUAUCUGCAGAAGUUCUUAACUGACCUCGGAGAGGAGAGGGCCUCUGCAUCUGCAGGCACCUGUUCUGGAAUGGACAGUCAAGGUCCUGCGAGCUCGGAGUCCACGUCAGCAUUUUUGAAUUGGAAGCUUGUGUUGAAUUCAGCCAGAUAGGAACUUCAUGAAUCCUGAGACCACUAUGCUGAGACCACUCUAGCCUACUGGAGAAUGAGUAGCCACGUGGGGGAGAUAACUGAGGCCUGUGGCUGACAGGCAGCACAACUUGCAUGCGUGAGGCCACCACGGACCUUCCAGCCCAGUCCAGCCAUUGGGCAAGUCCAACAGAAGAACUGCCCAGAUUGUCACUUCACGGAACUUUGAG
rnacentral:lncRNA from 1 species